GACGAACGCUGGCGGCGUGCCUAAUACAUGCAAGUCGAGCGGGGUUUGUUUCUUCGGAAGCAAACCUAGCGGCGAACGGGUGAGUAACACGUGGGCAACCUGCCCUCAAGACCGGGAUAACAUCGGGAAACCGGUGCUAAUACCGGAUAACCUCCCCUCUCGCAUGAGAGGGGAGUAAAAGGCUUCGGCCACUUGAGGAUGGGCCCGCGGCGCAUUAGCUAGUUGGUGAGGUAACGGCUCACCAAGGCGACGAUGCGUAGCUGACCUGAGAGGGUGACCGGCCACACUGGGACUGAGACACGGCCCAGACUCCUACGGGAGGCAGCAGUAGGGAAUUUUCCGCAAUGGGCGAAAGCCUGACGGAGCAACGCCGCGUGAGUGAAGACGGCCUUCGGGUUGUAAACUCCUUUUCCAGGGGAAGAAUAAGGGUAAGAGGAAAUGCUUAUCCGAUGACGGUACUCUGGGAAUAAGCCACGGCUAACUC
rnacentral:rRNA from 1 species